UGAAAACAUACUAAUAUAGCAGGAAAGCCAGCCCAGGUGGAGAUCCAGCCCAAACCUGAAGGCCAGAGACCCAGGGGAGCCAAUGGCGACAAUCUCCAUCUGAGCCAGAAGGCCUAACAAUAGGGAGUACCAGUGUCUGAGGACAGGAGGAGAUGGAUGUCCUGGCUCCAGCGGAGGGGAUCUUGACACACAGGAUUAUGAGUAGACAUGAAAAUAUUGACCCAGCUGUAGACAGCAACUGUCAGCAGCUGAGAAAUAACCUGGCAGAAGGGAGAUGCCAUUCCAAGAAAACCAUGGAAGCAGAAAAGAGGAAAGCAGAAACACAGAUGAAGCAAGAGGCUAUGUCCUCUGUGCAUGGAGACAGCAGAUCUAUUAGUAGACAGGAUGAAGAGAAAAGGUGUGAAGAA
rnacentral:lncRNA from 10 species